rnacentral:rRNA from 1 species
GACGAACGCUGGCGGCGUGCUUAACACAUGCAAGUCGAGCGGUAAGGCCCUUUCGGGGGGUACACGAGCGGCGAACGGGUGAGUAACACGUGGGUGACCUGCCCUCAGCUCUGGGAUAAGCCUGGGAAACCGGGGUCUAAUACUGGAUAUGACUCCAUGACGCAUGUUGUGGGGUGGAAAGCCUUGUGCGGCUGAGGAUGGGCCCGCGGCCUAUCAGCUUGUUGGUGGGGGAUGGCCUACCAAGGCGACGACGGGUAGCCGGCCUGAGAGGGCGACCGGCCACACUGGGACUGAGACACGGCCCAGACUCCUACGGGAGGGCAGCAGUGGGGGAAUCUUGCGCAAUGGGCGAAAGCCUGACGCAGCGACGCCGCGUGAGGGAUGACGGCCU